rnacentral:rRNA from 1 species
AGGGUUUGAUUCUGGCUCAGGAUGAACGCUGGCGGCAUGCCUAAUACAUGCAAGUCGAACGAGGUCAAGGAGAGCUUGCUCGAGAUGACCUAGUGGCGAACGGGUGAGUAACACGUGGGCAAUCUGCCCGUAUGUCGUGGAUAACGGUUGGAAACGACAGCUAAUACAGGAUGAGCAUCCCGAAGGCAUCUUUGGGAUGUAAAAGGGGCUAAGGCCCCGCAUACGGAUGAGCCUGCGGUGCAUUAGCUAGUUGGUGAGGUAACGGCCCACCAAGGCGAUGAUGCAUAGCCGACCUGAGAGGGUGACCGGCCACAUUGGGACUGAGACACGGCCCAA